rnacentral:rRNA from 2 species
GACCUUGAAAUACCACCCUUUAAUGUUUGAUGUUCUAACGUGGAUCCGUAAUCCGGGUUGCGGACAGUGUCUGGUGGGUAGUUUGACUGGGGCGGUCUCCUCCUAAAGAGUAACGGAGGAGCACGAAGGUUGGCUAAUCCUGGUCGGACAUCAGGAGGUUAGUGCAAUGGCAUAAGCCAGCUUGACUGCGAGCGUGACGGCGCGAGCAGGUGCGAAAGCAGGUCAUAGUGAUCCGGUGGUUCUGAAUGGAAGGGCCAUCGCUCAACGGAUAAAAGGUACUCCGGGGAUAACAGGCUGAUACCGCCCAAGAGUUCAUAUCGACGGCGGUGUUUGGCACCUCGAUGUCGGCUCAUCACAUCCUGGGGCUGAAGUAGGUCCCAAGGGUAUGGCUGUUCGCCAUUUAAAGUGGUACGCGAGCUGGGUUUAGAACGUCGUGAGACAGUUCGGUCCCUAUCUGCCGUGGGCGCUGGAGAACUGAGGGGGGCUGCUCCUAGUACGAGAGGACCGGAGUGGACGCAUCACUGGUGUUCGGGUUGUCAUGCCAAUGGCACUGCCCGGUAGCUAAAUGCGGAAGAGAUAAGUGCUGAAAGCAUCUAAGCACGAAACUUGCCCCGA